UCAUGUGUCUUCUCAGUCAUGUUGACACUGGUCCACUACCAGGUCAUGUGUCUUCUCAGUCAUGUUGACACUGGUCUACUACCAGGUCAUGUGUCUUCUCAGUCAUGUUGACACUGGUCUACUACCAGGUCAUGUGUCUUCUCAGUCAUGUUGACACUGGUCUACUACCAGGUCAUGUGUCUUCUCAGUCAUGUUGACACUGGUCUACUACCAGGUCAUGUGUCUUCUCAGUCAUGUUGACACUGGUCUACUACCAGGUCAUGUGUCUUCUCAGUCAUGUUGACACUGGUCCACUACCAGGUAAUGUGUCUUCUCAGUCAUGUUGACACUGGUCCACUACCAGGUCAUGUGUCUUCUCAGUCAUGUUGACACUGGUCUACUACCAGGUCAUGUGUCUUCUCAGUCAUGUUGACACUGGUCUACUACCAGGUCAUGUGUCUUCUCAGUCAUGUUGACACUGGUCCACUACCAGGUCAUGUGUCUUCUCAGUCAUGUUGACACUGGUCUACUACCAGGUCAUGUGUCUUCUCAGUCAUGUUGACACUGGUCUACUACCAGGUCAUGUGUCUUCUCAGUCAUGUUGACACUGGUCUACUACCAGGUCAUGUGUCUUCUCAGUCAUGUUGACACUGGUCUACUACCAGGUCAUGUGUCUUCUCAGUCAUGUUGACA